rnacentral:tRNA from 1 species
GGCCUCGUCGCUCAGCUGAUACAGCGUGCGCAUGAAAAGCGUAGNCGCAUAAAAAGCGUAGGGGGGGUUCCAUGCGUGGGUUCGAAUCCCACCGAGGCUA